GGAGCAUUUGGUGGUGUUCCUCAC
rnacentral:siRNA from 1 species